rnacentral:misc_RNA from 1 species
GAUGAAGAACGUAGCGAAAUGCGAUAAGUAAUGUGAAUUGCAGAAUUCAGUGAAUCAUCGAAUCUUUGAACGCACAUUGCGCCCGCCAGUAUUCUGGCGGGCAUGCCUGUUCGAGCGUCAUUUCAACCAUCAAGCCCCCGGCUUGUGUUGGGGACCUGCGGCUGCCGCAGGCCCUGAAAACCAGUGGCGGGCUCGCUAGUCACUCCGAGCGUAGUAAUACAUCUCGCUCAGGGCGUGCUGCGGGUUCCGGCCGUUAAAAAGCCUUAUCUUCCCAAGGUUGACCUCGGAUCAGGUAGGAAGACCCGCUGAACUUACGCAUAUCAAUAAGCGGAGGA